GCGCCCGUAGCUCAGUUGGAUAGAGCGCUGCCCUCCGGAGGCAGAGGUCUCAGGUUCAAAUCCUGUCGGGCGCG
rnacentral:tRNA from 1 species